GAAUGACUCUCGGCAAUGGAUAUCUCGGCUCUUGCAUCGAUGAAGAACGUAGCGAAAUGCGAUACUUGGUGUCAAUUGCAGAAUCCCGUGAAGCCAUUAGGCCGAGGGCACGCCUGCCUGGGUGUCAUAC
rnacentral:rRNA from 1 species